AAAUAGACAAACCCUGGGUUUAUCCAACGUUUAAUUGUCCGUCUUGUAUGAAUUUUUUUAUAAUUAGUAUUUUCAUUAUUGUUAGAUGAUAAAACAUGAUUAAUAAUUUAUGUGUGACUUGUCUUUUUAAUUUUUUCAAAUAAGACGGACAGUCAAACGUUAGACACGGAAACCCAGAGUUUAUCUUUUU
rfam:Oryza sativa (indica cultivar-group) chromosome 1, whole genome shotgun sequence.